CCUACGGGAGGCAGCAGUGAGGAAUAUUGGUCAAUGGACGAGAGUCUGAACCAGCCAAGUAGCGUGAAGGAUGACUGCCCUAUGGGUUGUAAACUUCUUUUAUAUGGGAAUAAAACGUUCCACGUGUGGGAUUUUGUAUGUACCAUAUGAAUAAGGAUCGGCUAACUCCGUGCCAGCAGCCGCGGUAAUACGGAGGAUCCGAGCGUUAUCCGGAUUUAUUGGGUUUAAAGGGAGCGUAGGUGGAUUGUUAAGUCAGUUGUGAAAGUUUGCGGCUCAACCGUAAAAUUGCAGUUGAAACUGGCAGUCUUGAGUACAGUAGAGGUGGGCGGAAUUCGUGGUGUAGCGGUGAAAUGCUUAGAUAUCACGAAGAACUCCAAUUGCGAAGGCAGUUCACUGGACUGCAACUGACACUGAGGCUCGAAAGUGUGGGUAUCAAACAGGAUUAGAUACCCUUGUAGUC
rnacentral:rRNA from 1 species